UGGGGAAUUUUGGACAAUGGGCGCAAGCCUGAUCCAGCCAUGCCGCGUGCGGGAAGAAGGCCUUCGGGUUGUAAACCGCUUUUGUCAGGGAAGAAAUCUUCUGAGUUAAUACCUCGGGAGGAUGACGGUACCUGAAGAAUAAGCACCGGCUAACUACGUGCCAGCAGCCGCGGUAAUACGUAGGGUGCAAGCGUUAAUCGGAAUUACUGGGCGUAAAGCGUGCGCAGGCGGUUUUGUAAGACAGAGGUGAAAUCCCCGGGCUCAACCUGGGAACUGCCUUUGUGACUGCAAGGCUUGAGUGCGGCAGAGGGGGAUGGAAUUCCGCGUGUAGCAGUGAAAUGCGUAGAUAUGCGGAGGAACACCGAUGGCGAAGGCAAUCCCCUGGGCCUGCACCGACGCUCAUGCACGAAAGCGUGGGGAGCAAAACAGGAUUAGAUACCCUGGUAGUCCACGCCCUAAAACGAUGUC
rnacentral:rRNA from 1 species